UGGCCUCAGAUCAGGGAGGAUCACCCGCCGAACUUAAGCAUAUCAGUAAGCGGAGGAAAAGAAACUAACCAGGAUUCCCUUAGUAGCGGCGAGCGAACAGGGAGGAGCCCAGCACUGAAUCCUACCGUUUUAACGACGGUGGGAGAUGUGGUGUUCGGGAGGUUCCGCUUUCUCGUCGUCGUCAGUCCUGUCCAAGUUCAUCUUGAACGGGGCUUAAUACCCAUAGAGGGUGCCAGGCCCGUAGCGACGGAGGACGGCGGCGAGAGGAAUUCUCCUCAGAGUCGGGUUGCUUGAGAAUGCAGCCCUAAGUGGGUGGUAAACUCCAUCUAAGGCUAAAUAUGACCACGAGACCGAUAGCGAACAAGUACCGUGAGGGAAAGUUGAAAAGAACUUUGAAGAGAGAGUUCAAUAGUACGUGAAACCGUUUAGGGGUAAACCUGCGAAACUCGAAUGAAUGAACGGAGAGAUUCAGCGCUGUUUUUUGUCUACGACUUUGAUCGAUAGCAGGACACUGCGUGCGCUUUUCUCCUAGUAAUACAUCGUGACUCGUUCGAUGUUGGUCUAUGUGCCAUCUCGUUACGAAGGUCGGCUCUUCCUAGUAGAGAAUUGCUCUCUCUAGCAGAGAUUUUUCCUAUCUACGGAAGAAAUGGCCGCGAGGUGUUACUGACCAGUCAUCGGACGGUAUGAUUAGACGUUGCACGCGUUCAGUCGCGUCCGGCCCGACACGAGGCAACCUGAACCUUCCAUCCAUCUUCAGAUAGAUGCUAGUUAAGCGCGCCUGUCUUUGUCGUCGUGAAGUCUCGGACCGUGCACGUCUGUCAGCGAUGCUUCAGUUUCGGGCACUCGCAGGACCCGUCUUGAAACACGGACCAAGGAGUCUAGCAUGUGUGCGAGUCAUUGAGAACUAAAACUCACAGGCACAACGAAAGUGAAGGCAGGCGGAAGCCUGCUCAGGGAGGAUGGAGCCUCGAUCUUGAUCGACCUCUCGCACUCCCGAGGCGUCCCAUUUCCAAGCAGAGGAAAGGAUGCGCUCUGAGCACAACUGCUGGGACCCGAAAGAUGGUGAACUAUGCCUGGUCAGGUUGAAGUCAAGGGGAAACCUUGAUGGAGGACCGAAGCGAUUCUGACGUGCAAAUCGAUCGUCGGAACUGGGUAUAGGGGCGAAAGACCAAUCGAACCAUCUAGUAGCUGGUUCCGUCCGAAGUUUCCCUCAGGAUAGCUGGCGCCGAUUGAUCAGUCUCAUCCGGUAAAGCGAAUGAUUAGAGGAAUUGGAUCGAAAUGAUCUUAACCUAUUCUCAAACUCUAAAUGGGUGAGAACCUCGGCUUACUUGAAUUGUGAAGCCGGGGACUGAUGACGGUGCUUAGUGGGCCAAUUUUGGUAAGCAGAACUGGCGCUGUGGGAUGAACCAAACGUAGUGUUAAGGCGCCCAAAAAACGCUCAAAGGAAUCAAAAAGACGUGGGACCCUAGAGACGACAGGACGGUGGUCAUGGAAGUCGGCAUCCGCUAAGGAGUGUUUAACAACUCACCUGCAUAGAGGGGUCCAGCUCUGAAAAUGGAUGGCGCUUAAGUGUUUUGCCUAUACACUACCGUUACGUGCAUGUGCGAUGUUUUCGUGACGUCAUUACGCUGUAACGAGUAGGACGGCGCGGCGGAGUGCGCGGAAGAGUCUGGGCGUGAGCCUGCUUGGAGCCUCCGUCGGUGCAGAUCUUGGUGGUAGUAGCAAAUACUCUGGUGAGAGCCUGGAGGACUGAAGUGGAGAAGGGUUUCGCGCGAACUGUAAUGGCACGCGAGUCAGUCGAUCCUAAGCUUAAUGAGAAAUCAUAUGUCGAUGUGGCGUGUUAUCAAGCGAUAAAUUACGCCCGUUGAGCGAAAGGGAAUCCGGUUAUUAUUCCGGAACCCGGCAGCGGAACCGUUUCAAAAAUCGUACUUCUUGCUUAAUUGCGAGUCUGCGACGGGGCAACCCAAACUGGCCUGAUGACGCCACCGAGUGGUCUGGGAAGAGUUUUCUUUUCUGCCUGAGUGUUUCAGAACCAUGGAAUCCUAUAAUAGGGAGAUGUGGUUCCAGACACGAAGAGCAUCACAAUUGAGUGGUGUCCGGACCCUCUCUGUGGACCUUGAAAAAUCAGGUGAGGGAUGUACGUGGAGAUGUCGCGCCGGUUCGUACCCAUAUCCGCAGCAGGUCUCCAAGGUGAAGAGCCUCUAGUCGAUAGAAUAAUGUAGGUAAGGGAAGUCGGCAAAUUGGAUCCGUAACUUCGGAAUAAGGAUUGGCUCUGAGGACCGGGGCGUGUCGGGUUUGGAAGUGAAGCUGAAGUGUCUGUGCUUAUUAUGUUCAAUGCACUUGCGUAUUUGGCGUGAGGCAGAGACCAGGUAAGCAUUAGACCUUCGUGGAUCAUUCAAGCUGUAAAACAGUGUCAGUUUCGCCUUGUGUGCGAUUGAUACUGUUUGUUCGGCCGCCGUAAAACGGUCAACUCAGAACUGGCACGGACAAGGGGAAUCCG
rnacentral:rRNA from 1 species